AAAGUGAUUCCAAAAUGCAUGAUACCAGCGGUUACUUUAGAUUUAUCUUUAGUGUUUGUCUAAGGGAGAGCUUAGAGAACCACCCUUAAGGGGAGAAGAACAAUAUUGAUUGACUUGCAGAAAUUCACACAAACAUACACAUUGAGUUUUUUACAAGCAGAUAUGACCCAUACUCCAAACUGAAACCAGUGGCAAUUGAUUAUACAAGUAUCAAAAAAAAAAAAAAAAAAGUGGGGCGAAAACAAAAACAAAAUAUUGAUGGACAUUCCAAGCUUAGAAAGAGAGCGUGACUGCGUUCUUAAUAAGCCGUGUUCAAAUUAAGUAUAAUGUGUUUUAUCAAUUCUAGUAACUCUAUUUCUUAAUGAUCAUACAGCUUUUGGAUAUCCCAGCAUCAGAAACUCUUAUAAUACACCGAAUUUCACCGUGAAUCAAAUGGAUUAGAGAAUUGAUUAAACAAAUAAAAACAAGAAUAUCCCAAUUCUAUUUAAAAAAAGGAACAAAAUGCGGGGCUGAACGAACUUUCUGUUUGACGACAGGAGAUUUAUGCUGGAGGCGUUUGAGGAUGAAUUCGGAUACUUCCUUAACGAUGCUGACGUGGGAUGACCUCAGAAGCUCGCAAAUCUCCUCCAAUUUGUAGACCGGAGUAACCUUGUCCUCGUCCGACGUCGCACCGUCUAUCAUCUUCGACCUCCAGUAAGACUCCACCGCUCUCCUGCUCUGCUCCAUUUUCUCUGAUUUAUCUCUUUUUACUUAUCAAUAAUCAAUCAAAAAAAUUCCGCUGACAGAUCUAUCGAUCGAUCCAAAAAAAUAUGAAUAAUUAACCAAAUAAUCAAAAUUAAUGAUCAACCAAUCGUCACAACUGAAGCCGAUAUGGAUAUUGAAUUCGAGAAAUGUAAAGGAAUUGGAUGAACAGUCUAGGGAUUUUUAAGGGGUUUUGUUCUUUUAUUUUUAUUUUUGCAGUUUGAGAAAAUUAAUUAUCACAUAAAAAUCGUGGAAAAAUCGUUGUUGGGUGUAUGAUGUAGAAACGUGUGAUGCUACUUUCUCAACAUUCUG
rnacentral:lncRNA from 1 species